rnacentral:pre_miRNA from 1 species
GGAUUUUUUAAAUCCGUCUCUAACUUUAGGGACGGAUUAUCAAUAUCCGUCCCUAAGUUAGAGAUGGAUUUUCAAAAUCCGUCUCUAAAUUUAUUUCGAGAUGGAUUUUCAAAAUUCGUCUCUAAAUUUAUUUCGAGAUGGAUUUUUAAAAUCCGUCUCUAAUUUAGGGACGGAUUUUUAAAAUCCGUCCCUAAAGUUAGAGACGGAUUUAAAAAUCC